GCAGUGAUGACUUUUAUUGGUCUUGAGCAGCGAUGAAAAUACACCACCAAUUCCUCUAAGAAGUUCUGAGCUC
ensembl:snoRNA